UCCCUGGCGGUCCAGUGGUAAGACUCCGUGUUCCCAAGGCAGGUGGCCCAGGUUUGAUCCCUGGUCAGGGAA
rfam:TPA: Bos taurus chromosome 3, whole genome shotgun sequence.